AAGACUGUGCUUCACAGGAUCAUUUCUGUAGGCAAGUUUUCACCACAAGUUUUUUUUUCCGAAAGGAAAAGAUUUCCCACCCACGAUGAUGAGACAUAGUGACUAAUCUGGAGCGUGAAACUCGGUUCGUUUGGGCUCUAUCGCUCGCUGAUGGAGCCACGGAUUGCUGAUGAUCGAACUCUUUUGCAAAGAUCGGUCGCUGUCUGAGUGGU